rnacentral:rRNA from 1 species
CCCUUAGAUGUUCUGGGCCGCACGCGCGCUACACUGACGAAUGCAACGAGCUUAUAACCUUGGCCGAAAGGUCUGGGUAAUCUCCAAAUUUCGUCGUGAUGGGGAUAGAUUAUUGCAAUUAUUAAUCUUCAACGAGGAAUGCCUAGUAAGCGCAAGUCAUCAGCUUGCGUUGAUUACGUCCCUGCCCUUUGUACACACCGCCCGUCGCUCCUACCGAUUGAAUGCUCAGGUGAGCCAUUCGGACUUUCAUCAUGUCGGUUUCCGAUUUUGAUGAAGGAAAGUCUUGCGAACCUUAUCAUUUAGAGGAAGGAGAANUCGUANCA